CACAAGUGAUGAGCCUAUUGACGGGCGGACAGAGGACUCUGUGCUGAUUGUCAAUAUUCUGAUCUG
rnacentral:snoRNA from 1 species